rnacentral:rRNA from 1 species
UNUGACUUGAGUGCAGAAGGGGAGAGUGGAAUNCCAUGUGUAGCGGUGAAAUGCGUAGAUAUAUGGAGGAACACCAGUGGCGAAAGCGGCUCUNUGGUCUGUCACUGACGCUGAGGCUCGAAAGCGUGGGUAGCGAACAGGAUUAGAUACCCUGGUAGUNCACGCCGUAAACGAUGAGUGCUAGGUGUUAGGCCCUUUCCGGGGCUUAGUGCCGGAGCUAACGCAAUAAGCACUCCGCCUGGGGAGUACGACCGCAAGGUUGAAACUCAAAGGAAUUGACGGGGGCCCGCACAAGCGGUGGAGCAUGUGGUUUAAUUCGAAGCAACGCGAAGAACCUUACCAGGUCUUGACAUCCCGAUGCUAUUCUUAGAGAUAGGAAGUUACUUCGGUACAUCGGAGACAGGUGGUGCAUGGUUGUCGUCAGCUCGUGUCGUGAGAUGUUGGGUUAAGUCCCGCAACGAGCGCAACCCUUAUUGUUAGUUGCAUCAUUAAGUUGGGCACUCUAGCGAGACUGCCGGUAAUAAACCGGAGGAAGGUGGGGAUGACGUCAAAUCAUCAUGCCCCUUAUGACCUGGGCUACACACGUGCUACAAUGGUCGGUACAACGAGUUGCGAGCCGGUGACGGCAAGCUAAUCUCUGAAAGCCGAUCUCAGUUCGGAUUGGAGGCUGCAACUCGCCUCCAUGAAGUCGGAAUCGCUAGUAAUCGCGGAUCAGCACGCCGCGGUGAAUACGUUCCCGGGCCUUGUACACACCGCCCGUCACACCACGAGAGUUUGUAACACC